UUGUGUGGACCUUCUUCAACUGCUUCCCAUAUACCUUCUCCUUGGGCCUUAAGAUGUGCCUUCAUUCUGAUUUUCCAGAAAUCGAAAUAUUCUCCGGAGAAGAGUGGGGGCUUGUUGCUACUUCUAUCAUCUUUAAAAACCGGGUUUAUGCUUGCGGAAGCCAUGCUGGAUCUCUAGGAACAAGUUACCUAUAACUUGCUCUGAUGCCAAUUGU
rnacentral:lncRNA from 1 species